AGAGAGACUCGGCCAGCCGGUGAGGUGCCUGGGAUCUCACAGUCAGGGAGUCUGUCUUAAUGUGGUGCUUUUGAAUCAUGGCUCUUCUCUCUUUAAGAGAUUGGCUAUCAGGAGAAGGCUGACGGCUGCAGCAUGAAGCGCAUUAUUACCUUGUGAUUCCAUGACCCUCCUCUAUGCAUCCCUAACUCUCGAAAGCUGAUUCAGCUUUCAGCUAGUGCUCUGGUGACUCUACUGCUGCAACAGAAUCUUCUAACUGGUAUGUUACAGGCAUCCUCAGUUGUCAUGGAGUUCAACCGGAUGAUAUUUAAAAACAAUUAAAACCAACCCCCAAGCCUCAAAAGGGCUUUCUGGGGUUUCGUAUCUGCAAGGUAGUGUUUCACUUACAAUGACCUGCAAAGGAAAAAUCUCUGGAGUCUCUAGACGGAGGUUUCGUAGCAUCACUCAUUUUUUACUGAUUGGCAGUGACAGCAGCCAGCUCGCCCUAGAACCCAAGAAAGUGUGGAUAUUUCACAAACGGGAAAGGGGCAGGGAGAAAGCAUGGACAUCAUCUUACAUUUGGAGGAGAGCCGAUAUCACUGACACAAGAAUUGUGAUCUUGACGAGUACUCAAGCAAUAGCUAAAGGCAGAGAAAUAAAAAAUGUGGCUGGAUAAUACAAAUGUUUGCUCAACCAGGAGAAGAAAUGAAAGCCAUGUUAAAGGCUGCCCCAUAAAUCUGAUAUGUACCGUUCCCUCGCCCACAGUAGACUGGAUCUGCAGAGAAACAUAAGCAGACUAAGGUGAGGAGAGUGCUAAUCAGAACUGGUAUAAGGUAGCCGGGCAUUUAGUGUACAGCCGCCAAGAAGAACGAAGCAAAACACCAGUAUUUCAAUAGAAAGGACCAAGAGCAUGUGGGAAAUUCUAAUGAACUUGCCAACUGUUUGUCCUAGUUUAUACAUUACAGCAGGUUUUGAUUUUACAUAAUACUGUAUUUAAAAAACCUUCAAUAAAAAAAGUUUUCGAAGAGAA